UAAUCAAUUCAAUAUUAUAAGAUGAAAUUAUAAAAAAAAAAAUCUAGAAAAAACAAACUAAUUAUUCUUUUAAUUUCAGUCCAUGAAGAUUAAUUGAAAACACUAGCUUUGUAAAACAAGAGAGAAAAAGCCAAGAACUACUGUUUUACCUCAUAUCCUCAGAAAUUCUAACUCUUUACUGUUAGAUAAUGACCAAAUUAAGAGCAAGUCAAACAACAUGUAAUUCAGACGGCAGCUCUUGUUCAUGUUCAAGUAACCAAUCAAAGACACUGACAUAUUUAUCAUAUAAAACAAUAGACUCCCACCAUCUUAAUCUGUGUUAUACUCCAUGUCUCACAUGGGCUGCAAACCUAGCAAGUCAUUCUUCCACGCUAAUUUACUGAACAAACAAAAAACCAGUCUUAGAUUACACUAAUCAUCAAUCCCAAAAGCAAAAAUCACUGUUCUUACCUGGUUUUGGGAUAAACAAAAUAUCUGAUCCUUCCAGGAUUGUCUAGCCUAUUCAAUAUGGCUGUGUUAGCUCUAAACCGAGAACAUAUUGUAAGAAGUGUAUCUCCAUGUUGAACCAGCUUGUAGAUUACCAUGUCUGCAUUGUUAGAACAGCCACAUAAAAGAUCAAGAGUCACUACUAGCGAUGGAAUCAACCACAGAUGAAAGCUGUGGCAAAAGCUAAAGAGAGAGGUCAAAAUUACAAAACUUACAAAAGUGGUAAUCAAACUUGCUCCUCUCCCUUUUAUUGAUCACUACUUCAAGCAAACAUUAAAUACCAACUAGUUACAUUGAAAAGUACAGGAGAAAGUUUGUGUUCUUUCUCUCGAAGAAAUAGCAAAAGACAUCUUCUUUUCAUCAAAAUGAUCAAUGGAGAUAGACAUAAGUAAAAGGGUCUCAAGUGUGAGCGAGCGAUAUGAGGUGUUACCUGGUGGGUGGUUAGACAAAUG
rnacentral:lncRNA from 1 species